rnacentral:rRNA from 1 species
UAGACCGUACUUCGCGGUCGCCAGCAGGAUGCAGCUGCUGCUGCUGGGCCUGCCGCUGUCCGCCUCCAAGAUGCUGGCACCCCCGGGCGGCAGGGGCGGCGGCGGCGCGGCGGCGGGGCGCCUCAUGCUCUCGCUGCUCAAGCUGGCGGCCCCGCCGAAGCCGCCGCCGUCCAAGAUGCUGGUGGCGAUGGCCCUGAGGGGGAGCGGCGCCCGGAUACCGCCUCUGGCGCGCUACGUGGCGAGGCUCUCGAAGAGGCCGAAGGCGGCGCUCAAGGGGUUCCCCAAGGCGCGGCUGGCCCUGGCCAGCGCGACCCUGCGCUCGCCGUCGCCGUCGCCGCCGCCGCCGAGCCGCACCGCCGCAGGCCCACCGGGGACCUCCCUAGGCGUGCCGAACCUGCCGGUGUUCAGACGCCGGUCCGCCGUCCGCGGCAGCGGCGGAUGCGGGGGAGCGGCCAGAGGGUCACUCGGGUCCUCCUCCUAUCUACCAGGGUUCCCCCUGUUCAACUCCUUCGUGUUGACGCCGCGGCCACUCUAGCUCCUUCCCCUUCAGCGCGGUCUAGGCCCGUGGUUUCGGGGCGGAGGGGGACGGCGGCGCCUCGUAGUCUUCACCCAACUGAGUCCGGCAGGACUACUGUUCCCUUGAUCAUUCUCUACGCUCAACUUCUUUCACCUAAGAGGACCCGGCUCUGAUUCUCACCUAAACUCUUGAGUUCGACGGCUGUUGAACCCCUUCCUCUUUCCCUUCUAGUCCCUACUACGUCGGCGUCUUCGUCCCUUUCAUUAUUGGUGCGUCGUACUCUUUAGUCGUAGCCUACAGUGUCCCUUUCAUCGUUCGUGUGUCGUACUCUUUAGUCGUAGCCUACAGUGUCCCUUUCGUCGUUUGUGUGUCGUACUCUUUAGCCGUAGCCUACAGUGUCCCUUUCGUCGUUUGUGUGUCGUACUCUUUAGUCGUAGCCUACAGUGUCCCUUUCAUUGUUUGUGUGUCGUACUCUUUAGUCGUAGCCUACAGUGUCUCUUUCACACACCUCCUCUACUUCGACGGUCACGGCAACUAGUUCCACCUCUCUCGUGAAGGAGGCGAUACGUCGACCUUCGCGCGGUACUCCUUCACCAAUGUGCUGUUCUACCACGGUUACGACGACUACACCCACCCGUCUCGUGAAGUAGACCAUAGGAGUUCCUACGAUGGUACCUUCUUCACUGUUGUGUUCAACUUUGACGGUAACGACAGUUACUACAACCCUUCCCAUGAAGUAGGUCGUGUGUUUUUCUUAGUGACGUCCUACAUCAUUACCGUAAUCCGCUCUGACGAUCACUACUACUAUAACAAACCUAACCGUCAAGUAGCUGAUGCGACGUCUUUCAAGAAGGAUUUCUUAGUUGUCUACCUUUGUAGUUACGGCCACCGCUACGACCUAUAACGCGAAGCAGGUCACAGGACGUCCCCCGCUACGUCCUCCUUCACUUUAUACAUCUACAUCGACGGUUAUAAUGUCUACGCGGCUUUCUCCGGUCAAGAAAGUCAUACGACUUCCUUCGCCACGUACUUCUCCUGUGUGGCGAUAGACGAUUAUGGUAAUUAAACGAUCCUCUAUCGUUCAGUAGGCAAUACGACCUCCUUCGUUACUUACUCUGUCAUUGGUGCUUUCUUGAUUGACGGUUACGCGAACUGUAUCGACCUUUCUCGUCGAGUAGAUGAUACGAGGUCCUUCUACAGUACUGAAGAGAGACGGUUCUCAGAGUUCUUUAAUUUCUUUGACUUUAUCCUUUACAAUCUCUGUUCUUCUAACUACUUUGUUGACUUAGAUAGCGUAGGGUCGGUCACCUUCUCCCUGAGCUCUCCAUGCCAACACUUUUAUCUCAACGCGAACUGUUUUGACUUCAACAUCUUCUUUUUCUCCGUCGUCGACUCUUACUUUAGCAACGCUUUGUUCAUUAUGUACAACUAGACCUCCGGUUUGAACGUCCAUGACCACGAAAGGAAGUUGGUGGGUUCCUGGUAUAAUUCCUAUGACUCCUUCUCCCGUGCUGAAACCUAGACUAAUACCUCUUCGGUUCCCGACUUCUAUUUCCUUUCCCAUAUCGUAAACUACAGGAAUUAUUCCGUCCACCACCAUGAAAUCGCCCCUCUCCAAAACUGUAUCCUAACGUCGGACUGUGUCUGGUUUUUCUUCGUACCUUUAGAUGUUCGUGAUGAAGGCAUUUCGUCCUUCUACUGUGUGAGUUCUAUCCCUCUGAGCUAGAAAGUGAUUCGAACAGUCCAGCAAAUGUCCUAGGACUUAAGUUUUCAAGACAAGGGUCUGGACUAAGAGAUCGGGUACCUGGUACGAGGGUCAACAGCAGCAGCAGUAGUAGUAAGACGUGUUUAAGUCUACCUUAUUGUCGAAGGCAUAGUAACUGGUUAAGAGUUCGUAAACAAGCGUUGGGAUCAAAGAGUGUAUGAGUUGCCAGUAACCUGUUAACACUCGUGAGUCAUCCGUCAUUUGGAAACAAAGUUCCUCAACUAGUCCACUCGUUAUCGUGUCCUACCGUUCAUCUCAACAGCAGUUUGUAUAGAUGGCUCUUUCCCUUGGGGUGGGGCGAUGAAGUCUUUCAUGAGGUUUUACCAGUAAACAGUCUAUUGUGAAACCAACCACACUUGUACGUCUUGUUACCCGAUAGCGGUCAGGACAGCUGUCGUGUAUUAGUACCAAGCGAACUACGACCUAACCCUGUAUCAUCUGUAUCUUCCGUCGAGUGUUCUCUCUCUUCAUCGUCGUCAGAAAGUUCCCCACUCGAUGUCGUACUCCUUGUCGAACAAGACUUACCACGACCACAACAACUCUCCCAAUAAAGGUUCUAACAAAGUCUGGGAGACUUAAUAUGUCCUUCCUACGAAGUUCUCUACUGUCCGUUAAGAUCUCGUAUAAACUCCCUCCGGUAAAGACUCUAGUAUUAAUUACGACUAUUUUCUCCUGUUUAUCAUCGCAACGUCCUCCGUGAAUUUUUUGCUAGUCUGAACUUAUCACUUUAUGACGUUUCCACAGGUGCCCACGACAACCUCUAUGAACAACGAUAUUCCUGCCCAGAAGGUCUAAAAAAUUUCUUUUCGUCAUCGUAACGAUGUGGACUAAACCAACUGUAAAAAAACUUAAACUUUACGGCGUUAGAGAGUACGGUUUCGCAAGAUGGUCACCAACUAACACUAACAUUUUAAACAUUCGUCUUCUGACCGAAGACAUCAAGAACGUACACGUAACAGACGAACUUCAAACUGUGCCGUAGAUUAUGUACAUCAACCCAACCGACACUACAGACAGAAGUAACCACGGUAUGCCUAACACCGAAUGCGGUGAGGGAAUAAGCUUUCCCCCCUCGACCAAGAUCCCGUGUACCAUGAUUACUUUACGUCAAAGUAACGCCACGAACACCUGUAGGUAGUCUCUACAUACCAAAACACUUUCUUCAGAAGGCUUGUACACGAUUUGUUACCUCCCACCUCCGAGACUAGUCUCUCGAAGUUAUACACCUUUCCUAGAAGAGACGUUCACUACUACGUUCCCCAUCCUCUCAGUCCCUGAAACAGUUCGUCUACGACUAAUUUAACCUUUUGUCCCCAAUAAUAAGACUUCAGUAGUUUAUACAGUAGCGUAAGAAAAGACUACUGUUAGGAUUGUACCCGUCACCAGGUAAUCACGGUGAUUUCCCGUAAGGUACGUCGUAACGACUUCCUUAUUUACCCUAAGGAUCAAGCUCAGCUUGCCGUUGUACCAAUGGUAGUCAAUGGAAUCUUCCUCAGGGCAAGGAUGUUUUUCGUCCACAACAAAGAUGAUGACCCUUGGUUAGCUACAGAUCUUUUUAUCGACUUUGACCUAAAGUCCGCCAGUUAUUAUUCGGUCAAAGACUACUUGACCUAUCAGAUCACUCCAAUUUCGUCCGACUUCGUUUAUACAUGGUCCUUGCACGGUUACUUCGUGCAUUUCUUCGACUCUCAGACUUUUUAUAGCACUACCAUUUUAUACGUGCGUAACUUCUUGUAAUACGAUGAGUUUACUGACUUGAGGUGUAUUUACUCAACGUUCUCUCCGCGUUCGUUUUGUAACUUCUUGAAGUUCAGUAACUUUCUAGCAUGGUAGUUAAAGAGUCGUACUUUUGUUCCUACUUUCUAUUGUAAUCCCUCAAUAACAACUUUUACCUCCGUUGUUUUGUUUUAGAUUCGUGUAUUUGCUCCAAUGACGGGCACAAACCAACGUCUAUGGUUUGAACGACUCGAAUCACUUCCGUCUGAGGUAUAACACUCCUGGUAGGAAGCUCGAGAAUGUACAGACCAACCGUUUGCUGAACAGUAGAAAGAACUUCUUAACGAGAAGUCCUUUGUCGUUACGACUUAAAGUUCUUCCACGCUCGUCCGCCCGUCCAGAGUAAGGAUAAGGAUUCUUGGUCAAAACGACUAGGUCAAAACUUAGUUCAUGCUGCCUUGCCGCGACCAAACUUCGGUUGUCGAGACAUUCGAGGACCUUUGCUUCAAAAGGACCCAGGGCCACCGUCGCCUUAAUACAAUCCGGUCAACCACCAUCACAUGCAUCCCGUACCUUGACCUAGACAUUUAAUACCACGCAGACAUGGACAGUAAAAGCUAUCCUCAUACAUACGUAGUCCGGUACAGACUUUACCGACGAAUUAAACAUCAGGGAGACGUUGUCUGCUUCCUUUAAGACGGGCACAAUAGCUUCUGACGGAGAGUCAAUAAGAUAGCACUAUAAGAGAGAGUCUCUAAAGACGAG